AUACAAAAAUAUUCAAGUGAAAGCAUACAACAAAUCCCUUCAACUUACUAGAAGGACUCAAAGAUUAUGAUCUUCUUUUAAUUAACACCUCAUCCCAAAUAUUUAAAUAAGGUUCAAGCAUGAAACCUUUCCACUGAUUUGCUGUCAUGUUCUUCCCAACUCUGCUUAAGCCUGAUUUAAGAUGUCUACAUACAGUGUUUGCUUAUCUCUCUAUGGUCCAAAUUGAGGGGGCCCUUACACUGUACUUCUUCCUACUUCUAUAGCAGUAAAGGUUACUAGAAUUGGUUAUUAAAUUCAUUAUUCUUGAGUAAAGGCCUGGGAAGCUGAUAUGGUUACCACCAUCAACCU
rnacentral:lncRNA from 1 species